AGAUCCGUAGUCGAAAGGGAAACAGCCCAGACCACCAGUUAAGGUCCCCAAAUAUAUGUUAAGUGGAAAAGGAUGUGGGGUUGCUUAGACAACCAGGAUGUUGGCUUAGAAGCAGCCACCAUUGAAAGAGUGCGUAAUAGCUCACUGGUCGAGUGACCCCGCGCCGAAAAUGUACCGGGGCUAAACAUAUUACCGAAACUGUGGAUGAACCUCUUUAGAGGUUCGUGGUAGGAGAGCGUUCUAAGGGCGGUGAAGUCAGACCGGAAGGACUGGUGGAGCGCUUAGAAGUGAGAAUGCCGGUAUGAGUAGCGAAAGAAGGGUGAGAAUCCCUUCCACCGAAUAUCUAAGGUUUCCUGAGGAAGGCUCGUCCGCUCAGGGUUAGUCGGGACCUAAGCCGAGGCCGAUAGGCGUAGGCGAUGGACAACAGGUAGAGAUUCCUGUACCAGUGCUAAUUGUUUAACCGAUGGGGUGACACAGAAGGAUAGGGAAUCGCACGAAUGGAAAUGUGCGUCCAAGCAGUGAGUGUGAGAAGUAGGCAAAUCCGCUUCUCGCGAAGCAUGAGCUGUGAUGGGGAAGGAAAUUAAGUACGGAAGUUCCUGAUUUCACGCUGUCAAGAAAAGCCUCUAGGAAGAGUAGUACUGCCCGUACCGCAAACCGACACAGGUAGAUGAGGAGAGAAUCCUAAGGUGAGCGAGAGAACUCUCGUUAAGGAACUCGGCAAAAUGACCCCGUAACUUCGGGAGAAGGGGUGCUCUAUUAGGGUGCAAGCCCGAGAGAGCCGCAGUGAAUAGGCCCAGGCGACUGUUUAGCAAAAACACAGGUCUCUGCAAAACCGUAAGGUGACGUAUAGGGGCUGACGCCUGCCCGGUGCUGGAAGGUUAAGAGGAGUGCUUAGCUUCGGCGAAGGUACGAAUUGAAGCCCCAGUAAACGGCGGCCGUAACUAUAACGGUCCUAAGGUAGCGAAAUUCCUUGUCGGGUAAGUUCCGACCCGCACGAAAGGCGCAACGAUCUGGGCACUGUCUCAACGAGAGACUCGGUGAAAUUAUAGUACCUGUGAAGAUGCAGGUUACCCGCGACAGGACGGAAAGACCCCGUGGAGCUUUACUGCAACCUGAUAUGGAAUGUUUGUACCGCUUGUACAGGAUAGGUAGGAGCCGAAGAGACGUGUGCGCUAGCAUACGAGGAGGCAAUGGUGGGAUACUACCCUGGCUGUAUGACCAUUCUAACCCGCCACGCUUAGCGCGUGGGGAGACAGUGUCAGGUGGGCAGUUUGACUGGGGCGGUCGCCUCCUAAAGAGUAACGGAGGCGCCCAAAGGUUCCCUCAGAAUGGAUGGAAAUCAUUCGCAGAGUGUAAAGGCACAAGGGAGCUUGACUGCGAGACUGACAAGUCGAGCAGGGACGAAAGUCGGGCUUAGUGAUCCGGUGGUUCCGCAUGGAAGGGCCAUCGCUCAACGGAUAAAAGCUACCCCGGGGAUAACAGGCUUAUCUCCCCCAAGAGUCCACAUCGACGGGGAGGUUUGGCACCUCGAUGUCGGCUCGUCGCAUCCUGGGGCUGUAGUCGGUCCCAAGGGUUGGGCUGUUCGCCCAUUAAAGCGGCACGCGAGCUGGGUUCAGAACGUCGUGAGACAGUUCGGUCCCUAUCCGUCGCGGGCGCAGGAAAUUUGAGAGGAGCUGUCCUUAGUACGAGAGGACCGGGAUGGACACACCGCUGGUGUACCAGUUGUUCCGCCAGGAGCAUCGCUGGGUAGCUAUGUGUGGCAGGGAUAAACGCUGAAAGCAUCUAAGCGUGAAGCCCCCCUCAAGAUGAGAUUUCCCAUUUCUUCGGAAAGUAAGAUCCCUGAAAGAUGAUCAGGUAGAUAGGUUUGGAGUGGAAGUGUAGCGAUACAUGGAGCGGACAAAUACUAAUCGAUCGAGGACUUAACCAA
rnacentral:rRNA from 1 species